AUUGCUUCUCGGUCUUUUGGCUAAGAUCAAGUGUAGCAUCUCUUCUUACCAGUUUAAUAUCUGGGUGAUGAAAUAAUCUGUACAACAAACCCCCAAGAUAGAAGUUUACUUACGUAACCUGCACUUGUACCCCUGAACGUAAAAGUUAC
rnacentral:snRNA from 1 species